CGGGGCGGCGGCGGCAUGUCUGGCGCGCGGGGCGGUGGUCGCGUGGCCCCUCCCUCCGGCGGGCGCGCGGCAGCCGCAGCGGCGGCGGCAGCGGCGGCCGGGGCUGGGGCUGCAGCGGCGGCGGGGGGAGGAGGAGGAGGAGGCGAGGAGGCGGCGCCUGUGUCGGCGCUGGAGGUUGUGUGCUUCCUGGGGAAGCUGCUGUGCGCAGUCGCGGCGCUGAAGGCGGCUCUGUACCUGCUCCGCAGAGUGUGUCUGGCGAUGGCCUGGAAGUCGGGAGGCGCCAGCCACUCCGAGCUCAUCCACAACCUCCGCAAAAAUGGAAUAAUCAAAUCAGAUAAGGUAUUUGAAGUAAUGCUGGCUACAGAUCGUUGCCACUAUGCAAAAUACAACCCUUAUAUGGAUUCUCCACAGUCUAUAGGUUUCCAGGCAACAAUCAGUGCUCCACAUAUGCAUGCAUAUGCUCUUGAACUUCUGUCUGAGCAGUUACAUGAAGGAGCCAAAGCACUUGAUGUAGGAUCUGGAAGUGGAAUCCUUACAGCAUGCUUUUCACGAAUGGUUGGUCCCAAAGGACAAGUUGUAGGAAUUGAUCAUAUCAAAGAACUAGUAGAUGACUCAAUAAAUAAUGUCAAAAAAGAUGAUCCUACGUUGCUGUCUUCAGGAAGAGUGAAACUGAUUGUGGGAGAUGGAAGGCUGGGAUAUGCAGAAGAAGCUCCCUAUGAUGCGAUUCACGUAGGAGCUGCAGCACCAAUUGUGCCCCAAGCACUUAUAGAUCAGUUAAAACCUGGCGGAAGAUUGAUAUUACCAGUUGGUCCUGCAGGAGGAAACCAGAUGCUCGAACAGUAUGACAAACUAGAAGAUGGCAGUGUCAAAAUGAAGCCUCUGAUGGGAGUGAUAUAUGUGCCUUUAACAGAUAAAGAGAAGCAGUGGUCCAGGUGGAAGUGAUUUUCUGUUCCACUUACUUCUUCCACAAACACGCAAGGUGAAAGGGUGUGAAUUUUAAGCAGAUAGACUGCAAGGCCUGCCUUUGCUGCUGUCAUUGCUUUCUGCUCCUCCAUACCAUGAAAAGUGACUCAAUCUGCAUCACUACAUCAUCAGAAUGAGGGAUGAAUUGUAAAAGCUACAUCAUCUUGACCCAAACAUAGUGUUACAGUGGACUGCUCAUCUCCAGUUCUAAAAGCUUUUUGAAAACCAACAGCAUUGCAGCUUGUUUUGGACUUCGUUAUACUAUUGUUAUCAGCAUGGAAAAGCGUGGUGUUUGUUUUAUUUUUUUAGAUGCUCAAGGCAAAUCCGGUAAAGAAAUGGUGGAAAGUUUUAUGUGGGCACUGUUUUAUUUAACAUGCCUUUAUUUUACUUUCAUCUGUUCAAAGUGAAUCUCUGCAAAACUGCAGAUGAAGACCUAUAGCUUGUGAACUCUGAUUUUGAUGGGGGUACUUGAACACUCACUUCUCUUGGCUCCUGUGUCCCUUGGUAAAACUGCUUCUGUGCACCUUAUGACACUGUGUAGGUAAUACCAGGUUUUCUGUGUUCCAAUGUCUGCUAGAUGCUACUAAAAGGAGAUGAACUUCUUUUUUAAGCUUUUGACAUGAUGUCAUAGACUAGCAUGUAGUAGAUACAAUCAGCUGCUUAAUCACCUUAAAACCAGGCAUUUGUAUAUAUUAGACUUCAAGACAUCAGAGGUGGGUGGCUGCUCUUAUCAAACAUUGCUGUUCAAGUUAGGUAUAACAGACAUGGUUUUCCCUUUCCUUCUAAAAUUAAUUAAUGGAGUCGUGAAAUUCUCUUCUGGUUUAUAGCUCACUACUGAUGUGAUGCACAUUGAUUUAACUCCAUAAAUAUGAUGCAAGCUGUGUCCCAAUCACUGAACAGCUUAUGCAAUGCUGCUUUGCCAAAUAAAGUUAAAAGCAAAAAGGGAGUUGUACGCUUGUGAUUAGGAAGGGUAUGCAGUAGACUACUGAGAUAUGGAUCGAUAGAUUCCGUAUUAAAAAAGUAAUCCAGUUUGCUUCCAAAAGUUGCUUUUGGCAAAGCCAUUUGCUGUGCUAACAUGCUCAUUUUUCUAGCUAUGGGCACCCAGGAAAAAUUCUGGCUUUUUAGAAAGUGAAGUCUUAAUUGCUAUACAGGGAAAACAUGAUACAUGUAGAAGGAAUAGCAAAUCCUGGACUCCUAAGUACAGAUAGAGAUGCAAUUGUUCAAUUUACAUGAUGUAGAAGUGUAGUUGGAAGGCUAUAAACCCUUUUUUUCCUGCCCCAAGUUUUCUGGCUUGGUACUGUAAAAUGCCAACAGCAAAUUGCAAAGCAGUACAGUAAGGUGAGCUGCUUUGGGAGAAGGGGGAAGUAUGUCUGGAGUCUUCUUGCUCAGAUUUGAGCAACCAGGAAUUAAAGUAAAGGACAUGUUAUCUUUAUUUUCUCUUUUUUAAUAGUAAAAAAGGGUUAUAGAAUAAAAUAACUUGUAUAAAUCAACACCUAGAGAUCACUGAAAAAAGAUCUUUAACUUUUUGUGGUGGAACAGCAAUAAUUUUAUCAUAGGAUUAAUCUCUGAAAGCAUGAAGGUUAAAAUUCAAAAUUCUCUGAGUAUGAACGGGGAACACUUUAAAUAACCUUCCUUUUGAAGGUCAUCCCUAUCCUAUUCCUGUGCAAAAGAUAUGUAUCAAUUUAUUUAGAUGUUUGGAAGUUAAUGUACCACCUCCUGAUCUGACUGCAGCCUGGGAGCACAUGCACAAAGAUUAAUCUUAUAAAGGAAUUGAUGUAGCCUGUAUUCUAGAGAAUACAAUUCAGAAAAACCCACUUGCGUCUGACAAAUUUGUACUAACCCACAAUCAACUGUGAAUCUAGUUCUUGGUGUUGAAGUGAAAUAUCUUAAAUGAUGCAUGCUAAUGUUCAACCUUUUGGUUACUGUAUCAUUCAGUUUGAGUUCAGCUUUAGUUACAUCUUCUCACUAAGUUAAUUAGUUAAAUGAAAGAUAUGAGCUCAACUGUAUCCAAAUUCUUGUCUCUGGACACAGUGUAAUAAGCUAGCAUAACUUGGAAGAGGUGAUAAAGCUGAGACCUG